rnacentral:rRNA from 1 species
GAUGAACGCUAGCGAUAGGCUUAACACAUGCAAGUCGAGGUGCAGCACAAGGUAGCUUGCUAUCUGGGUGGCGACCGGCGCACGGGUGCGUAACGCGUAUGCAACUUGCCCUAUACAGGAGGAUAACCCGUCGAAAGACGGACUAAUACUGCGUAUGCUCACAACUUGGCAUCAAGUGGUGAGGAAAGAAAUUCGGUAUAGGAUAGGCAUGCGUCCCAUUAGCUUGUUGGUGAGGUAACGGCUCACCAAGGCAACGAUGGGUAGGGGAACUGAGAGGUUUAUCCCCCACACUGGUACUGAGACACGGACCAGACUCCUACGGGAGGCAGCAGUGAGGAAUAUUGGUCAAUGGGCGCGAGCCUGAACCAGCCAAGUCGCGUGAAGGAUGACUGUCUUAUGGAUUGUAAACUUCUUUUAUACGGGAAUAACAAGAGUCACGUGUGACUCCCUGCAUGUACCGUAUGAAUAAGCAUCGGCUAACUCCGUG